rnacentral:rRNA from 1 species
ACCAGACUCCUACGGGAGGCAGCAGUGGGGGAUAUUGCACAAUGGGGGGAACCCUGAUGCAGCGACGCCGCGUGGGUGAAGGAGCGUUUCGGCGCGUAAAGCCCUCUCGGCAGGGAAGAAGGAGGACGGUACCUGACUAAGAAGCCCCGGCUAACUACGUGCCAGCAGCCGCGGUAAUACGUAGGGGGCAAGCGUUAUCCGGAUUUACUGGGUGUAAAGGGAGCGUAGGUGGCAUGGUAAGCCAGAAGUGAAAACCCGGGGCUCAACCCCGCGGAUUGCUUUUGGAACUAUCAGGCUGGAGUGCUGGAGGGGUAAGCGGAAUUCCUAGUGUAGCGGUGAAAUGCGUAGAUAUUAGGAGGAACACCGGUGGCGAAGGCGGCUUACUGAACAGAAACUGACACUGAGGCUCGAAAGCGUGGGGAGCAAACAGGAUUAGAUACCCUGGUAC